rnacentral:rRNA from 1 species
UGAGGAAUCUUGCGCAAUGGGGGAAACCCUGACGCAGCAACGCCGCGUGAGUGAGGAAGGUCUUCGGAUCGUAAAGCUCUGUCGGGUGGAAAGAAAUGUAUGGGGUUAAUAGCCUUCAUACUUGACGGUACCACCAAAGGAAGCACCGGCUAACUCCGUGCCAGCAGCCGCGGUAAUACGGGGGGUGCAAGCGUUGUUCGGAAUUAUUGGGCGUAAAGAGCGUGUAGGCGGCUUGGUAAGUCAGAUGUGAAAGCCCUGGGCUUAACCCAGGAAGUGCAUUUGAAACUGCCUAGCUAGAGUAGGGGAGAGGGAAGUGGAAUUCCUGGUGUAGAGGUGAAAUUCGUAGAUAUCAGGAGGAACACCGGUGGCGAAGGCGACUUCCUGGCCCUAUACUGACGCUGAGACGCGAGAGCGUGGGUAGCAAACAGG